GUAUAGUUUCUCAGGAGUUGAUUGUCAAUGUCAGAUCAGCAUAAUCCCUUUAAAAGAAAACACAGGUUUUCAGUAUGUUUGUUGUAGGGCAUUUCCUGAUUCUAGAUAAUAAUUCUCCCAGCAGACUUCUGGCCAUUACUGGAGAGGUGCUAAAGUCAGAUUCCUCCAUUCUUUCUUUGGAGCACAAGGAAAGGUAAAAGCACAAUCAAGACACAGAUAAGGACCAACGUUUACAAAGGACUGUUUUGUGUUUUCUUCUGCUUUACAAUAGAGUAAUCCAACAGUUGCCAAGUGCCACUUUGAAUUUAUAUUACUUUUUUUAAUUUUUUGAACGCUUCUUAAGGUUCAGGGUGCAACUUGUUUUUUAUUGUCACCCUGACUCCUCCUGUGGUUAUGUCACCUCCCAUUGUUGUCUACAGUAAACUUGCCUUUAGGAAAAAAACUGUGUGGGAGUACACAAGGCUUUAAAUAUCAUGUUCUGAAUUUCUGUGAAAAGGUGCUUCUUGAUUGGGGAAAAAUAUUUCCUGCUCCAGUGUUUUUUUUCCCCCUAUCCUGUUUUAGUCUUAAACAAGAAGUUUUUUUUUUCUGUUGGAUUUGAUUAGUGAUAAACUGGCUAACCAGUUCUAUCCUGAAAAUCUAAAUCAACAAGCAGCCAUCAGCAGCUCUGCAUAAUUACUAAACUCAAUCAGUAUUCCAGACUUUUGUCUCUAAGGUCUGGUUUACAUCUGAAAAGUAGAUCGACUCAGCUACAUCAGUCAGGGCUGUGAAAAGUUUAUGCCCCAUGUGAUGUAGUUAGGUGGAUAUAACCCCACUAUAGAUGCAGUUAGAUUGACUAAGAGUCUUCCUCCAACAUAGCUACUGCUUCUUUGGGAGGUGGAUUGCCUACAUCAAUGGAAAACAUUUUCUCUUGAUGUAGAAAGCACCCACGCUACAGGAGCACAGCUGUAGCACCAUAGAUAGUGCUGCUACUGUAGUGUAGACAUGGCCUUAGGCUUUGUCUACACUACAGAGAUUUUUUGACAAAAGGCAGCUUUUGAUGCCAAACAGUGGAGGUGUACAAGCUCCAAUGCCACUUUUGGUGACAAAACUCUCCUGUUUUGCCAGCAAAAUAAAACUACCUCGAUGAGAGACGUAGAGCUUUUUGAAACAAAGUUUUGUCCACAAAGUGCCAGCGUAGACACCAUGCAUGGUUUUGUCACUGUAAAUAGCUCCAGGAGGUAUCCCACAAUCCCCAUCCUGACCACUCUGGUCAGCAGUUUGAACUCUGCUGCCCUGCAGCUGGGCAAACAAGCAUCCACCCUCCCCCCUUUAAAGACCUGGGAAUUUUUGAAAUUUCACUUCCUGGUUUGCUUGGCCUGGAGAGCUCAUGUCGCAUCUUCCCAGCUGACCACGGCAGCUCCAUAUGGCAAACGCUCUCCCACUUAGACCACUGCAGAGUUGUUGGAUCUUCUGGGUAUAUGGGAAAAGGAGGCUGUCCAGUCCCAGCUCCGGUCCAGCUGUAGGAACUUCAGUACCUAUGGGCAGAUUUCUUGUGGCUUGUGUGAGAAGGGCUAUGAUUGGGACACGGUGCAGUGCAGAGCGAAGAUAAAGGAGCUGAGCCAGACGUACCAGAAGGCAAGGGAGGCAAACCAUCACUCCGCUGCUGCACCCAAGAGAUGCCGCUUCUACAAGGAGCUGGACGCCAUCCUCUGCAAUGACCCCACUUCUGCCGCCAAGAGCCCCAUGGACACUAUGGUGGGAUUGGAGGCAGAGGACAGUGGACCUAACCCCAAGGAUGAAGUUGUGGACAAGGAGAUGGAGUUGGAUAACGUUGUGGAGCCCCCUGCAGGGUGAUUCAGUACCACGUGAGUCAGGAACUCUCUUCUACUCCGGAAGGGUGUAGCCAGUCCCAGCACUCAGUCUCCGGCAAGCAUAAUGCAGGAGCGGAGACCCCGAUGCGGCCUUCAAGGGAAUCCCCUACACACUGGCAGAGAGCCUCUGCCAGAUAAGGAAGCAACCAAGACAGAGCCAGGAGGACAUGUUCAGAAAGGUGCUCCAAUCCUCCGAGUUAGAAAAAAGAGAGCUCCAUGGAACUGAGAGAGAAAUGGAAAGAUGGGAUAGAAAUAUAGUGAGGAGUCCAUUCAAAAGGCCCAUGAGCAGAUUAGUGACAGAGGAGCAAACAGAUGUUGAAGUUCCUAAUCACACUCCAGGCAGAAUAGAUGCAUGCUCGCCUCCACCUUUAGCCUAUACAGAACUGUUUUCCAUUCCCUUCCCAAACUCCUCCCAUACAUUCCUUGCAACUUCCCUGAACAUCUCGAUAUCCCGUUCACUCCAGCCCUUGAGACACCUUCCAAAAUGAUAGCUGGAUUUAUGCACAGCUAUGAGAGCCUCCACUGCUCAGCACUCUUACCUCCAUUCCCACCAACCCUUUCGUGUGAGUUAAUUGGUGUGUAAUAAAAACAGACUCUCUGAAA